CCCUUAGAUGUUCUGGGCCGCACGCGCGCUACACUGAUGGGCUCAACGAGUGCAGCAGCCUGCUCCGAGAGGAGCGGGUACUCUUAUGAAAUCCCAUCGUGCUGGGGAUAGACCUUUGCAAUUCUUGGUCUUCAACGAGGAAUUCCUAGUAAGCGCAAGUCAUCAGCUUGCGUUGAUUACGUCCCCGCCCUUUGUACACACCGCCCGUCGCUCCUACCGAUUGGAUGGUCCGGUGAAAUCUUCGGACUCGCGCGGCCCCGGGCAACCGGACCGCGGUGGGGAAGUUGAUUAAACCUUAUCAUCUAGAGGAAGGAGAANUCGUAACA
rnacentral:rRNA from 1 species